rnacentral:rRNA from 1 species
GACGAACGCUGGCGGCGUGCUUAACACAUGCAAGUCGAGCGGUAAGGCCCUUUCGGGGGUACACGAGCGGCGAACGGGUGAGUAACACGUGGGUGACCUGCCCUCAGCUCUGGGAUAAGCCUGGGAAAACCGGGUCUAAUACUGGAUAUGACUCCAUGACGCAUGUUGUGGGGUGGAAAGCCUUGUGCGGCUGAGGAUGGGCCCGCGGCCUAUCAGCUUGUGGUGGGGUGAUGGCCUACCAAGGCGACGACGGGUAGCCGGCCUGAGAGGGCGACCGGCCACACUGGGACUGAGACACGGCCCAGACUCCUACGGGAGGCAGCAGUGGGGAAUCUUGCGCAAUGGGCGAAAGCCUGACGCAGCG